rnacentral:rRNA from 1 species
UACGUAGGGCGCAAGCGUUAUCCGGAAUUAUUGGGCGUAAAGAGCUCGUAGGCGGUUUGUCGCGUCUGCCGUGAAAGUCCGGGCUCAACUCCGGAUCUGCGGUGGGUACGGGCAGACUAGAGUGAUGUAGGGGAGACUGGAAUUCCUGGUGUAGCGGUGAAAUGCGCAGAUAUCAGGAGGAACACCGGUGGCGAAGGCGGUUCUCUGGGCAUGUCCUGACACUGAGGCACGAAGGCCAGGGGAGCAAACGGG